AUGUACAGUAACUUUUCAUGUAUGAAAAGUCCACUCAUCUUUAACCAUCUCACCACUCCCGCCCAUAUCAUCUCUUCUCCCGCCCAUCUCAUCUUCUCCCGCCCUCGUUCUUUUCCUUUCCACCAGGGCUUUUGUUCAGAAGAAUUACAAGGAACCGAAGAAAGCAAACCCCAGGUUGCCCAUUCUCAUCCGUGAGUGCAGCGACACCGACCCUCAGUUGUGGCAUGAUUUGGUAUUGAUCUUAAACUGUUGUUUGUAGUCUGAUGGUAGUGAAAAUGGAUGGUAUGAUAUUUGAUAUUGA